CCGGCGACCGGCGCACGGGUGAGUAACACGUAUGCAACCUGCCCGUGGCAGGGGGAUAAGCGGGGGAAACCCCGUCUAAUACCGCGUAACGCGGCCUAGGGACAUCCCAAGGCCGCCAAAGGGAGCAAUCCCGGCCACGGAUGGGCAUGCGGCGCAUUAGCUAGUCGGCGGGGUAACGGCCCACCGAGGCGACGAUGCGUAGGGGUUCUGAGAGGAAGGCCCCCCACACUGGUACUGAGACACGGACCAGACUCCUACGGAAGGCAGCAG
rnacentral:rRNA from 1 species